rnacentral:rRNA from 1 species
AUGUCACUGCCACCGGCCGAGUACGACGACAACAAGCUAUGCUGGGAUCUGAGCUACAGCUUCUACACCGACGACGACCGGUGGGUCACCUCGGCGAGCACCUGGUUUGACGAUGGCAAGAAUGGGUUGUGCUUCAGAUGUGGGGAUGUCUUGUUCAAGCAUGGCACGAGAGGACGCUCGCCAGAGCCGUUCCCAGAUGCCGAUUGUCCUCCAUGCGGCCAACAACUUGAGCUGCCGCCGCCGAACUGCAAACGGAACCUUUUCGUGGUUAUCGCCCCAGCCUGCUCUCAUCUCUCACCUUGGCGACGUCGCCAUUGCCUUCAUACGCCGAAUCGACGAGACAACAUUACACUACGCCAACAGGAAUGA